UUAACUUUUUCAUAUUUUGUUUUUAUUUACAGAAAUCAGUUUGAAUAUCUUUGUUUUUUUGUAAUUCCAUCGCUGUGACGGGAGUGUUAAAAAUGAACAAAGAUAGGUUUCAUUAGUAUUGCAGACUCCUAUAUAGAAUAAAAACAUUUUUCUCAACCAACAUUAAAAUAUAUAUACAUUUUUAAAUGUACAAUACUCAAAGUACUACUAAAGUAGUUUCAUUUAUCUUCUAUAAAACCUCUAAUGUGGUGUGCUGAGCAAUAUAUUAACACUGAUGAUUAGUGCAAUGCUCCAUAAUACCAUAACCAGUUAAAAACAUGAGAUAUUCAACACACAUCCAUACUUCACACUGCUUUGUACCUUUCUCCUUGCAGGCUUGUGUCCACGGAAAGGUUAUUUAUUCUGUAGCAAUAAAAGGCCCCAAGAAAGGCAGCGGGUUGUAUAGUUACCUCCUCCUGGGCAAAAAAACAGCCCUAAAACUAUGCAACCUACUACCUCUUCCUAGAAACCCACUUCUUUCUACUUAUCUUGCAUCUGCAAAUGCGUCUUUAAAAUCACAGUAAACGUCACAUUAAGAGUGUCAUUGUGAGGUCCCCAGAUAAUAUUGUACUACUAAUCUUCUCCAGUGAAUGUCUAAUACAGAAUAUAUGGAUGCCAAAGUUCGACAUGCCUGCCUUGCUCGACAAUAAACCGAUUUACAAAAAUACACAAAUGGCAAAUACAGGAUUAUUGAAAUUCACAGGGUUAUUCAUUAAAAAUUGUCAAGAAUUCAAAAUUAUUUCAAAGUGAAUUUUCAAAUUUUACUGCAAAAAAGCUGAAACGCUGAAAAAAUUCUCCUAAUCAGCUAUGGUUUUGGUUUGGCCAUUUUGCCUAGAAUUUGAAAUUCCUUUUGAGUUUGCUUGGAAUUCCCUACAAUUCACAUUUUGGUGAAAACCCUGAGGUUUACAAAUGAUCCCAACUUUGGUUCUGCUCAUUGUAAAUAGGAAAGAUGUCUGAUUAUAGCCUUCUUCAGAAUUUUUUGCAUGCAACAAUUGUAUUGGGUCACCAGAGGGCACUACACAACAACAAAAAACCCCCAUAGAAUUCCUGGAAAAACAACACAAGUAUGGACAUAUUAAUAAUUUAAUGGCAUUGUUGAACGUCCACUCCUCAAGGAAGGCAAUAGAUUGUAUAGUUAUCUCCUAAACAAGGUAAAAUCACUACCUCACAACUAUACAAUCUACUACCUCACCCUGACAGAGCAACUGGAAAGAGCAAAGCUAUUACCAUGUCACAGCAUGGACGGACAAAUCUCCUUCAUAUUUAUUCACAAAAAUAUAUCAACUAUUUAUAGUAAAACAGAUCAAUAAUUUGGAAGUAAAAAAUACAUGUAAUUUUAACAGCAGAAAACAAUUCAUUUGAGACCUCGAGACCUUGAGACUCCGAUG